GACGAACGUUGGCGGCGUGCCUAAUACAUGCAAGUCAACUGAAAUACCGGUAGCAAUACUGGUAUGGAGGUGGCGCACGGGUGAGUAACACGUAGGUAAUCUGCCUUCAGGUCUGACAUAACCCAUCGAAAGGUGAGCUAAUAUCAGAUGAUGCAGCGGCUUGACAUCAAGACAGUUGUUAAAGCUUCGGCGCCUGAAGAUGAGCCUGCGUCUGAUUAGCUAGUUGGCGGGGUAACGGCCCACCAAGGCUGCGAUCAGUAGCUGGUCUGAGAGGAUGAUCAGUCACGCUGGAACUGAGACACGGUCCAGACUCCUACGGGAGGCAGCAGUAAGGAAUAUUGCUCAAUGGCCGAAAGGCUGAAGCAGCAACGCCGCGUGAGGGAU
rnacentral:rRNA from 1 species